ensembl:lncRNA
ACAGGAAGAAAAUAACAGGGAUCUUCAUGGAGAAAUGACUCACAGGAGGGCCUGGACUCUCCAGCAGUUACAGCAGAAGGAAGUUUCUGAGGAAGAAUGGAGGAGCUGAGAGCCCAGGCCGGGAAAGCAGGGUUGUGUGAAACACUAUUUAAUCCUAUGUGCUCCCUGCCCCAGUCUAGCAGCCAGUGAAUGACAACUGACCAAGUAUAAAGGCCAGGACUGUAGAACUGUGAUAGAGGGUUUGUCCAAGGAAAGGGGCUUUUCCCGUUUUUGUUUUCACAGUGGAAAUUGCUAUUUCUCAUCUAAAGUUUUCUGAAUGGCAGCAGGGAGCUUCUGGAGGGUGAGUUACCUGCUCUGCACAGGGAGGCUGAGGCCAAGACUUGUGUGGUGGAUCUGCUGCCACCAAGUGGUGAGGGAGGGAGCCUGGGAGAGUCUCAGUGUUUCUGGGCUUCAGUGUGUCCUGAUCAGUAAGGUAGAGGCUUAUUGUACCUCUCUGAGGUCCCUUUGUGCUCUGUUUUCUCUGAGCUUCUGAGGAACUGAGAUGCUUUUCAAUACUGCCUGGGACCUUCAGCUGAGACCUGACUCUGUGUCCUUUGCAGGAGCCUGAGCUGAGCCUACACGCUGGAAUCCCAGAGCUGCGGGAACAGGUGGAAGAAAGAAAGUCAGCAGGUUUAGGGGAUGAGAAUAAUCCACAAAGGACAAGCCAUUGCUGCAGGGAUCAGACUGACACCCACAUCUAUCGUGCAUCCCCUGUCUACUUCUCCGCAGAUACCUGGAAAUGGAAUGGCCAGAUCAAGAGCUCAGUCACAUUGGAUAUACACAGCAGGAAUGAAGGACCAGUAUUUUCUGGGUCUCUCUCUCAAGUGGAUGAGCUUCAGAGAUUCAUGUAGUCUUUGGCCACCCUGCCUGUCUUCUAUUCCAGGUAAGUACUGGAUAGGAUGGCCCAGCUCAGAUCAGGCACUCUCUCCGUGAGCAGGGGAGGGCGGGACAUCUUCAUGUGCAGUAGCAGAAAGACACUGUCCAAAGAGGGAGAGGCAGUUCUACAAAAGAAAGGUCAGUCUGGGGCAUGGGCAGGCAAACCGAGGAUGUGAAGAAAACAGUGUCUGCUCUGUGAGGGGAGCAUGCAGUAGAGGAUGGAUUCAGAGUGGGAGGAAAAGAGUUUUUGGAAAUAUGGGCCGUGGAUAUUCCUGUGUGAGCUGGAGCCACACGAGACUGUUAGGUACUUACAGGGAGCUUAGGAGAAUCUGCACUCCCCAACCUGGGAGACAGGUGAGGGGACUGUCCUGGUCACCAGACAGAGAUAGGGUCUGGGCCACACAGUUCUGAUGGGAAAAAAAUGACAGGACAUCUUCUCUUUGAGGUAAGAUCCUGAGUUCAGGUCUUGGUAGGGAGGGAGGCUGCCUUGGGCAUUGGCAGCUGCAGAUGGUUGACCGAAUGAGGGCACUGAAAUCUAUGUGCUAUCACCUUGUGUUUCUAGUAAAAGAAUCGCUGUAAUGAAGGGUCCUUAAAAGAGGAGGUGGAUGACCUGACUUGGGCGGGGACUCCAAGAGGAGUGUCUGCCUUGCUGUGCAGUGUGCAGUGUUCGUGCCAAGGGCUUGAGACAGCUUGUGUGACUCACCCCAUUUUGGCUGCUGGACCCAUCUGCACUCCCCCCUCUCUAGGGCUGUCGAGCUGAGACAAAGGCCGCAGGCUGAGUCACUGAGGCAAAAACAGAAUACAAAGCAAAGGUCUGUGGUUUAUGAGGACAUUGUGCUGUCUGCUUUCAUGUCCCCAUCAGUCUCUGUAUAAGCAAUAAACUUGCUGCAAUUGAGAUGCCUAAGAGGGACAAGAGGCCCCUGCCCAUAUUUUCCCUGCACCUAAGCCUUUGAUCUAACUCCUGAUGGAAAAACAGGAUUAACAAGCCACCUUAAGGGCACCAUUGUUUGCUUGCACUGUGUAUCUUUGAAAAACAAACUGCUUUGUAAACUAUUAUCACAAGCUCCCUUAACCUGCUUUGUGAGCGGUUAUCACAAGCCCCUGAUAAGUGUUUUCAUGGAGUUUCUAUUUCCUUUCUGUUUACCCCUUUUCUGCUGAGAUAAAGUAAAUGCAACAAGAAAAAAGGUAUAAAAGCUGUAACCCACAAGAAUAAACUUGCUGCGUUGUGACCAUAAGUUACACAGACCUCCAGACUCCGCUUUACUAUUUUCUUUCACUUCCACGCACUCUCUCCCUCAGGUUGAACGAGACAUCUACACUGGCGGUCUCGGGGACUCCCACAGGUCGGUAGCCCCCCGGCAGAUGUGCCAGACCCCAACAGUGCAGAAACCUGCUGCAUAACCUCCCUGAUUCUCUUGCUCAGUCUCCUGGCCAGACCCUCAGAGUCCCUGCCCUGUGUGCCCUGGAAACUCAGUCAGAUGAGCCAAGGUAUCUCCAGCCCGGACUCAUCCCUGGGCAUUUUUGUGGCUUUGGGUGCCCUGAUCUUCUCCAGGUCUUGUCCUGCAAACAACUGACCUUCAGGGGGAGUCUGGGUAAGGAGGCUACUUGUCACUUAAAUCUAAGGGAUUCCAUAAGGUCCUGACUUGGGUCCUAGUCACUUGCAAACCUAUGCAUCUCCAUCCCAUCCCCCAAAUGAUGAAAGGAAACUUUGUCAGGACUCAUGCCAGACAAAUAGGGUGGGGCCUUUCAUAGAGCCAAGUUCUUAGGCCAUCAAUAAGAGAUGGAAACCACCUGAAGGAAGGUGCCACGGUGGGAAUCUGGGUGGCAGGAAGCAGUCACUGAACUGUCAGGGUGAAUCCUGGCCCUCACACACCCUUUCUCCUCCUGAACUCCUUGUCUCAUUUCUCCUGUCUGCUCUUUCCCCGCCUUUCCCAAGGCUCAAAACACUUGGUAACCUUGGACAGUUUCAAAACUGGAGAGAUUUGGCCACAACAUUUUCAAGCUAGGAAGGUCCCCCAGAACUAUUGUCUAAGUUUUUAUGUUGAUUAGAAGAGAACAAGAGAGUUUCCAUCUGAUCUGGUCCUAAGUCUCCCUGAGUCUGGGCAGGAAGCAGAGCAGAGUCUGGACAGGAAGCAGGAGGAUGCCCAGGGUCCUGGACUUGCCCCUCCUAGCUGCUCAGCUCCUCACCUGUUCACUGUGAGAGAGCUGCCCUGGAAUGGGGAAUCCAUGGUUUCCACAGAGGCUGGGAUCCCAGGCUCAAAUCUAAAUACUGGCUGAUUCAGGAGGCUAAGGGAGGCAAUUCCCUGGAGAGAGGUGUCAGGAUUUGGGACAAAAGCAGCAUCUAGUCGCUGUCCACAGAGACCUCAAGGACAGGAAUCCACUGGUUCCCAAUUGGAGGGGAUCCCAUGAAAAUGAAAUGAAACCCACAAGUUAGUACUAGACCGAAGACAGGAGAGUCGUCCUCGCGGCCCCCGUGGAGAGAUCGAGCUCAAGGACUGCAAGGCUGGCUCUCCCCUAGUAUGGCCAACGAAGAGGAUGACCCAGUCAUACAGGAGAUCCACGUGUACUUGGCCAAGAGUCUGGCAGAAAAGCUGUAUCUGUUUCAGUAUCCCGUGCA